GACGAACGCUGGCGGCGUGCUUAACACAUGCAAGUCGAACGAAGAGCGAUGGAAGCUUGCUUCUAUCAAUCUUAGUGGCGAACGGGUGAGUAACGCGUAAUCAACCUGCCCUUCAGAGGGGGACAACAGUUGGAAACGACUGCUAAUACCGCAUACGAUCUAAUCGCGGCAUCGAGGAUAGAUGAAGGGUGGCCUCUAAAUGUAAGCCAUCACUGAAGGAGGGGAGUUCGUCUGAUUAGCUAGUUGGAGGGGUAACGGCCCACCAAGGCGAUGAUGAGUAGCCGGGCUGGAAGGAUGAACGGCCACAAUGGGACUGAGACCCGGCCCAGAAUCCUACGGGAGGCAGCAGUGGGGAAUCUUCCGCAAUGGACGAAAGGCUGACGGAGCAACGCCGCGUGAGGGAUGACGGCCUUCGGGUUGUAAAGCUCUGUUAAUCGGGACGAAAGGCCUUCUUGCGAAUAGUGAGAAGGAUUGACGGUACCGGAAUAGAAAGCCACGGCUAACUACGUG
rnacentral:rRNA from 1 species